rnacentral:rRNA from 1 species
CGCGUGAGAAUCUCCCUUCUGGAGGGGAACAACCGUUGGAAACGACGGCUAAUUCCCCAUGUGCCGCAAGUGAACGGGUUACCGCCAGAAGAAGAGCUCGCGUCCGAUUAGUUAGUUGGUGAGGUAAAAGACUCACCAAGGCAGCGAUCGGUAGCUGGUCUGAGAGGAGUGAGCAGCCACACUGGGACUGAGACACGGCCCAGACUCCUACGGGAGGCAGCAGUGGGGAAUUUUCCGCAAUGGGCGCAAGCCUGACGGAGCAACGCCGCGUGUGGGAAGAAGGCCCUUGGGCUGUCAAACCCACUUUUCUCAGGGAAGAAGUUCCUGACGGUACCUGAGGAAUCAGCCUCGGCUAA